AUUGAACGCUGGCGGCAUGCCUUACACAUGCAAGUCGAACGGCAGCACGGGUGCCUGCACCUGGUGGCGAGUGGCGAACGGGUGAGUAAUACAUCGGAACGUACCUUAUCGUGGGGGAUAACGCAGCGAAAGCUGUGCUAAUACCGCAUACGCCCUGAGGGGGAAAGCGGGGGAUCGAAAGACCUCGCGCGAUUAGAGCGGCCGAUGCCUGAUUAGCUUGUUGGCGGGGUAAAAGCCCACCAAGGCGACGAUCAGUAGCUGGUCUGAGAGGACGAUCAGCCACACUGGGACUGAGACACGGCCCAGACUCCUACGGGAGGCAGCAGUGGGGAAUUUUGGACAAUGGGGGCAACCCUGAUCCAGCAAUGCCGCGUGAGUGAAGAAGGCCUUCGGGUUGUAAAGCUCUUUUGUCAGGGAAGAAACACCGGCUCUAACACAGUCCGGGAAUGACGGUACCUGAAGAAUAAGCACCGGCUAACUACGUGCCAGCCGCCGCAGUAA
rnacentral:rRNA from 1 species